CCUACGGGAGGCAGCAGUGGGGAAUAUUGGGCAAUGGAGGCAACUCUGACCCAGCAACGCCGCGUGAAUGAUGAAGGUCUUCGGAUUGUAAAGUUCUGUGAUGGGGGAUGAACACAAUGACGGUACCCCAAUAGCAAGCCACGGCUACCUACGUGCCAGCAGCCGCGGUACUACGUAGGUGGCAAGCGUUAUCCGGAGUGGCUGGGCGUAAAGGGUGCGUAGGUGGUUUAGUAAGUUGGCGGUGUAAUUCCGGGGUUCAACCUCGGAGCGACCGCCAAAACUAUUAGACGCGAGUGCAGGAGGGGUAAGUGGAAUUCCUAGUGUAGCGGUGGAAGGCGUAGAUAUUAGGAGGAACAUCAGGGGCGAAGGCGACUUACUGGAAUGUAACUGACACUGAGGCACGAAAGCGUGGGGAGCAAACAGGAUUAGAUACCCUGGUAGUC
rnacentral:rRNA from 1 species